rnacentral:rRNA from 1 species
AGCAGCCGCGGUAAUUCCAGCUCCAAUAGCGUAUAUUAAAGUUGUUGCAGUUAAAAAGCUCGUAGUUGAAUUUCGGGAUUGACGUGAUGGUCAUGCCUUAAGGGGUAUGAACUGUUACUGUUGAUUUCUCACCUUCUAGGAAAAACUUGAUGUUCCUUUUAGUUGGGGUGUCUU